AUGAACGCUGGCGGCGUGCCUAAUACAUGCAGGUCGAGCGCACGGACGAGAAGCUUGCUUCUCUGAUGUUAGCGGCGGACGGGUGAGUAACACGUGGAUAACCUACCUAUAAGACUGGGAUAACUUCGGGAAACCGUAGCUAAUACCGGAUAAUAUUUUGAACCGCAUGGUUCAAAAGUGAAAGACGGUCUUGCUGUCACUUAUAGAUGGAUCCGCGCUGCAUUAGCUAGUUGGUAAGGUAACGGCUUACCAAGGCAACGAUGCAUAGCCGACCUGAGAGGGUGAUCGGCCACACUGGAACUGAGACACGGUCCAGACUCCUACGGGAGGCAGCAGUAGGGAAUCUUCCGCAAUGGGCGAAAGCCUGACGGAGCAACGCCGCGUGAGUGAUGAAGGUCUUCGGAUCGUAAAACUCUGUUAUUAGGGAAGAACAUAUGUGUAAGUAACUGUGCACAUCUUGACGGUACCUAAUCAGAAAGCCACGGCUAACCACGUG
rnacentral:rRNA from 1 species